GACGAACGCUGGCGGCAGGCUUAACACAUGCAAGUCGAACGCAUCCUUCGGGGUGAGUGGCAGACGGGUGAGUAACGCGUGGGAACGUGCCCUUCAGUUCGGGAUAACCCAGGGAAACUUGGGCUAAUACCGGAUACGUGCGAGAGCAGAAAGAUUUAUCGCUGAAGGAUCGGCCCGCGUCUGGUUAGCUGGUUGGUGGGGUAAUGGCCCACCAAGGCGACGAUCAGUAGCUGGUCUGAGAGGAUGAUCAGCCACAUUGGGACUGAGACACGGCCCAAACUCCUACGGGAGGCAGCAGUGGGGAAUAUUGGACAAUGGGCGCAAGCCUGAUCCAGCCAUGCCGCGUGAAUGAUGAAGGCCUUAGGGUUGUAAAGCUCUUUCGUCCGGGACGAUAAUGACGGUACCGGAAGAAGAAGCCCCGGCUAACUUCGUGCCAGCAGCCGCCGUAA
rnacentral:rRNA from 1 species